GUCAGUGGCAGACGGGUGAGUAACGCGUGGGAACGUACCUUUUGGUUCGGAACAACACAGGGAAACUUGUGCUAAUACCGGAUAAGCCCUUACGGGGAAAGAUUUAUCGCCGAAAGAUCGGCCCGCGUCUGAUUAGCUAGUUGGUGGGGUAAUGGCUCACCAAGGCGACGAUCAGUAGCUGGUCUGAGAGGAUGAUCAGCCACAUUGGGACUGAGACACGGCCCAAACUCCUACGGGAGGCAGCAGUGGGGAAUAUUGGACAAUGGGCGAAAGCCUGAUCCAGCCAUGCCGCGUGAGUGAUGAAGGCCCUAGGGUUGUAAAGCUCUUUUGUGCGGGAAGAUAAUGACGGUACCGCAAGAAUAAGCCCCGGCUAACUUCGUGCCAGCAGCCGCGGUAAUACGAAGGGGGCUAGCGUUGCUCGGAAUCACUGGGCGUAAAGGGUGCGUAGGCGG
rnacentral:rRNA from 1 species